UGGGCCGUCGCCAAGUGGUAAGGCAGCGGUUUUUGGUACCGCCAUUUCAUAGGUUCGAAUCCUAUCGGCCCAGCCA
rnacentral:tRNA from 17 species